GGGGCCGUCCCGGAUUCGACAGGUUGGUGAAAGCCGACCCGUGAUGCAGGUCGAGAGUGAGUCUACUCUCGUAAAUUCAGGCUCAACUUCAAAAGUAACUGCGAACAACAUCGUUCCAUUUGCUCGUAAAGCAGCACCUGUUGCUGCCUAAAAGCCUCUAGUUAGGCACGAGCGUUCAUAGUCUGACUCCGUUAAGGGCUAUGGACAAAACCCCAACGGAUGCGCACUUUAAUUGCCUCUGGUCGAUUGAGUGCCUGUGAAAGAACGGUAGGGAAAUAUCCAGCCUGGACAGCAGUUCAACUCUGCUCGGCUCCAUUU
rnacentral:tmRNA from 1 species